rnacentral:rRNA from 1 species
GUACGGGAGGCAGCAGUGGGGAAUUUUGCGCAAUGGACGAAAGUCUGACGCAGCAACGCCGCGUGGGUGAUGAAGGUCUUCGGAUCGUAAAACCCUGUCGUCGGGGACGAAGGUUGAGGGGUUAAUAACCCUUUAGCUUGACGGUACCCGGAGAGGAAGCCCCGGCUAACUCUGUGCCAGCAGCCGCGGUAAUACAGAGGGGGCAAGCGUUAUUCGGAAUUAUUGGGCGUAAAGGGUGCGUAGGCGGUCGUUUAAGUAGGAUGUGUAAUCCCCGGGCUUAACCUGGGAACUGCAUCCUAGACUGGACGACUUGAGUACUGGAGAGGGUGGUAGAAUUCCACGUGUAGCGGUGAAAUGCGUAGAGAUGUGGAGGAAUACCAGUGGCGAAGGCGGCCACCUGGACAGUAACUGACGCUGAGGCACGAAAGUGUGGGUAGCAAACAGGAUUAGAAACCCGAGUAGUCCU